UAGGGAAUCUUCCACAAUGGGACGGCAAGUCUGAUGGAGCAACGCCGCGUGAGUGAAGAAGGGUUUCGGCUCGUAAAGCUCUGUUGUUAAAGAAGAACGUGGGUAAGAGUAACUGUUUACCCAGUGACGGUAUUUAACCAGAAAGCCACGGCUAACUACGUGCUAG
rnacentral:rRNA from 1 species